CGGCCCGUGGUCGCGGGGCGACGGCUGGCGGCUGGGACCCGCCGCCCCGCGCCGGUUCCGGCUGGCCGCGGCGG
rnacentral:tRNA from 1 species